GGUAGCACAUUCUAAUCCUAGCAUUUAGCAUCAAAUGUCUCAUAGCUGUGGGUGGGGCUUAAUUAGCCCUCUAAGUCUCACAGGUGAGUGGACUAGAUCCCAGAGUCAGUGCAGCAAGAGUUUUGACAAUUAGCUGACAACCUAAGACAGCCUAAGCAUCCAAUGAGGAAAUCUAUCCUCUCCUUCCUUCUUCAGCCCCACCAGGCUGCCCAUAGCUAAACCCAAAGAAGGCUAGUGUGCCAGAGCCAAGGCCCGAGGGGAGAGCAUCUGUCACACACGUGGUACUCAGGUUGCCACCCAGAGCCUUGGUUAGUGACACUUAAAAAUCUGCAUCCCGGCUGGGCCUGGUGGUGAAUGCCGAGGCAGGUGGAUCUCUGUGAGUUCAGGGGUAGCCUGGUCUACAUAGUGAAUUUCAGUACACCUACAGCUAUGUAGAGAGACCCUGUCUCAAAAUAACCCCCUGUGCCUCAGGCAUGUGGGUGACACUGACUGGGAGAGCCUCAGGCAUGUGGGUGACACUGGCUGGGAGAAACCCAGAGCUUUCCAUGUCCCCAGGCCAGCAUGAUGCUGUGCGCUCUAGACACGCUCCUUUGACAGGGCUGACAGUCAACCUCACCAGCUGCCCUGGUCUGUCAGGACGUGGGCUACGGGUCAGAGCACAGUAACAGAGGGGCCUGUGUGGGUGAGAGGAACAAAGAGGCCUGUGGUCACGACACCCACAUACAGUCGCCUGGACUCCUCAGGGACAAAGGGCAGAGUUCUAAUUUGGGCUCACAGUGGGAGCAGGAGAAACCAUGUUCUUGUUUUCUGCACACUUGUGGUGGGCUUGCUCAGCCCUUGCAUUCGGCCUGUUCUGGGUUCCCAUGAAACUGUCUCUAACCUCAUGUUCACAGCCCACACAGCUGAUCCCUGAGGCCAUCAUGGCUUGGUCACAUGCACACUCCUGAACAGUGUGGCCAGGAUCCUGACACCAUGGCUGGGCCCUACUAUGUGCCUGGUUAAGAAUCUUAGAUGGUCUCCUUCAUCGGGUGGCUUGUCCACCGUGCUCCCUGACAGCCGGGCUGGUCCCCAGUGGGGAUGGAAGUCUAUGGUGCUCUCUGACAGGAGAAAUGUCACUUUAGUCCUCUUGAUUCCUUGGGAGACAGCCCCACCCCUGCCUUGGGGCUCCUCCGGGCUCCUUGCUCUGCUAGGUGUUUACCUGGGAGUUGCUAGUGUGGACUGCACGUAGCCCUUUGCACUUCCUUCUUCAGUGCUCCUUGGCCUUUUGUCUGCCGUGCUCCUGUCAGUGGCUGUGAUUGGGGCAGAGGGUAGAGCACCUUGCUGAAGGUGGCUCCUGGACCUUGCUCUCUCCUCCACCCAAACCUCCCUAACAUCCCAGGCUCAGGGACUUGUCUCACCAGCUCACUUUAUCAAAGUAAGAGAAAGAAAAGACAGUCUAGGCCAGCCAGUGCUGGCUGCUGCACCCUGCUGCACGACAAAGACAGAUCUUUUUGUUUUGUUUUGGUUUGUUUGUUUUGUCAAAGCCAGGUCUUGUCAGCCUUGGUUCUGCAGAGCUGUGCACACUGUUGGUGCUCUAUGCUCUGCCCAGGUUCCUGAAACAUCGACUCCCUCCCACCUCUUGUACCACCUGUAGAAAAGAACCAACCCCCAAAAGUUGUCCUCUGGUCUCCACAUGCACACCAUGGCACGUGUGCCCAAGUUGACUGUCUGUGGACAUAAAGUAAAAAAAAAAAAAAAAUAAUAAUAAUAAUAAUAAUAAUAAUAAUAAAUUAAUAUACAUAUAUAUAUGGAAUAUAUAAAGUAAAUAUAUAUAUAUGCAUGAGGAGAUUGAAUUACACUUCAGCUGACACUAAGUUUUUCAAUGUGGAGAGAGAAAUGAGGAGAAGGCUGGGACUUUCAAAGCUUUGAUCAGCCCCUUCCGCUUGUGUGAGUGUGAGUGCGUGAGUGCAUGCAGCAUUGUUGCGGGGAGUAGGGGGGCACCAGUCCUCGGCAGGACAUCCCUCAUGGCCACCAGGACAUUGCCCAGUGCUUCCCACUUCCUCCUAAUGAACUAGAGUGCACACCUGUCCUUGGAUACCUUGAGCAGCUGCCAGGCACGUGGUAGGACGUGAAGCCACACCACCCAGUCACGUCCCUCAUGAAUCAGUCAGUGUUGGUGAGGCACCCUGCUGUGUCAGCUUGCUGGUGUCCUUCAUCACCUGUGGCCUCAUUGAGGACCACAACCAUGGGACAACAACCUGCACAUUUAAAAUAAACCUUAUGUGUAUUCAUGCUUUGCG
rnacentral:lncRNA from 1 species